rnacentral:rRNA from 1 species
ACGGGUGAGUAACGCGUGAGUAACCUGCCUUCAANAGGGGGAUAACAUUCUGAAAAGAAUGCUAAUACCGCAUGACAUAUCGGAACCACAUGGUUUUGAUAUCAAAGAUUUUAUCGCUUGAAGAUGGACUCGCGUCCGAUUAGUUAGUUGGUGAGGUAACGGCUCACCAAGACCGCGAUCGGUAGCCGGACUGAGAGGGUGACCGGCCACAUUGGGACUGAGACACGGCCCAAACUCCUACGGGAGGCAGCAUG